GAUGAACGCUGGCGGCGUGCUUAACACAUGCAAGUCGAACGGAAAGGCCCUGCUUUUGUGUGUUGCUCGAGUGGCGAACGGGUGAGUAACACGUGAGUAACCUGCCCUUGACUUUGUGGUAACUUCUGGAAACUGGGGCUCAUACCCGAUAUGAGCUCCUGCUGCGUGGUGUGGGUUGGAAAGUUUCGGCGGUGGGGGAUGGACUCGAGGGUUAUGAGCUUGUUGGUGGGGUAGUGGCGUACCAGGUUUUUGACGGGUAGCCUGCCUGAGAGGGUGACCGGCCACAUUGGGACUGAGAUACGGCCCAGACUCCUACGGGAGGCAGAAGUGGGGAAUAUUGCACAAUGGGCGGAAGCCUGAUGCAGCAACGCCGCGUGCGGGAUGACGGCCUUCGGGUUGUAAACCGCUUUCGCCUGUGACGAAGCGUGAGUGACGGUAAUGGGUAAAGAAGCACCGGCUAACUACGUG
rnacentral:rRNA from 1 species